UACGAAGGGGGCAAGCGUUGUUCGGAAUUACUGGGCGUAAAGGGCUCGUAGGCGGCCAACUAAGUCAGACGUGAAAUCCCCAGGCUCAACCUGGGAACUGCGUCUGAUACUGGAUGGCUUGAAUCCGGGAGAGGGAUGCAGAAUUCCAGGUGUAGCGGUGAAAUGCGUAGAUAUCUGGAGGAAUACCGGUGGCGAAGGCGGCAUCCUGGACCGGCAUUGACGCUGAGGAGCGAAAGCCAGGGGAGCAAACGGG
rnacentral:rRNA from 1 species